rnacentral:rRNA from 1 species
UACGUAGGGGGCAAGCGUUGUCCGGAUUUAUUGGGCGUAAAGAGCGUGUAGGCGGCCAUACAGGUCCGUUGUGAAAACUGGAGGCUUAACCUCCAGACGUCGAUGGAAACCGUAUGGCUAGAGUCCGGAAGAGGAGAGUGGAAUUCCUGGUGUAGCGGUGAAAUGCGCAGAUAUCAGGAAGAACACCCGUGGCGAAGGCGGCUCUCUGGGACGGUACUGACGCUGAGACGCGAAAGCUAGGGGAGCGAACAGG